UAGCUUGGGAAAUGCUGCGAUUUUCGCC
rnacentral:sRNA from 1 species